CAUGGUCUAAAUCAUGGCGUCUCCAUAUUUUCCUUGAAAAACGUCAUUGUAAUUGCCAUGGUAUCCUAUGAUUUUUAUGAGCAUCACGAAGCAAACAUGGACGAAACUCGAGAAGACAACGACAACAAAGACAAGCUAGAGGAUGGGGGAUUAUCGGGUGAAGCAUACAACUUGGAAAACCGUUUCAAUUACGACUGACCGUUUCCUCAGUAGCAUUUGGUUUCCCGGAAACUUCUAGCACGCCUCGGAUUCGAGAGACAAGACAAGAAAAUGUCUAAAAAAUCACAUAUCUUCGGGUGUUUAGAUCAUUAGAAUGGCCACUAUUUUAGACCAUUAGUUAGCAGUUUCUAAUGUGAAUUAGUUAGAAGUUCCUCUCGUGACAAGAACUGAUUUUUUGUUCAGUUUUUCAUGUGAACACGUGAGAGAUACCUCUAUCUUAGAGCCGAUGGAGUGUUGUAUGUAUAGUUUGUCGAUAAGGUAUGUUUGAAGACGUAGAUUGAGUGAUAGGAUGGUCCAAGUAGAAAUAAAGUAAGAAAAUCACAGUGU
rnacentral:misc_RNA from 1 species